rnacentral:lncRNA from 1 species
GGGCAUAAACAUUACAACAUCAAUGUUUAGACGGGUUGUAUAUACAGAAUGUACACAGGCAUGUAUCACCUUCACUGCUGUUUUUUUUUUAUCAUUAAUAAAAAAAAUUAUUACAUAUUUUCAUACUGUCACCAUGAGACACCCCUCAUUGGUGAGAAGUUUUCUAUAUACAGAGUUGUUAGUAGUUAUCCUCCUACAUUAGCAAAAAGUAAAAUACAUCUAGAU